rnacentral:piRNA from 1 species
GAAGGAAGGAAGGAAGGAAGGAAU